rnacentral:rRNA from 1 species
GAUGAACGCUGGCGGCGUGCUUAACACAUGCAAGUCGAACGGAAAGGCCAGUGCUUGCACUGGUGCUCGAGUGGCGAACGGGUGAGUAACACGUGGGUGAUCUGCCCUGCACUUUGGGAUAAGCCUGGGAAACUGGGUCUAAUACCAGAUAGGACCAUGCUUUGGAUGGUGUGGUGGAAAGUUUUUUCGGUGUGGGAUGAGCUUGCGGCCUAUCAGCUUGUUGGUGGGGUAAUGGCCUACCAAGGCGUCGACGGGUAGCCGGCCUGAGAGGGUGUACGGCCACAUUGGGACUGAGAUACGGCCCAGACUCCUACGGGAGGCAGCAGGGGGGAAUAUUGCACAAUGGGCGCAAGCCUGAUGCAGCGACGCCGCGGGGGGGAUGACGGCCUUCGGGUUGUAAACUCCUUUCGCAACUGACGAAGCUUUUUGUGACGGUAGGUGGAGAAGAAGCACCGGCUAACUACGUG